rnacentral:rRNA from 1 species
UUACAAGUGACCCCGGUCUAACCACCGGGAUGUUCAUAACCCUUUGUUGUCCGACUCUGUUGCCUCCGGGGCGACCCUGCCUUCGGGCGGGGGCUCCGGGUGGACACUUCAAACUCUUGCGUAACUUUGCAGUCUGAGUAAACUUAAUUAAUAAAUUAAAACUUUUAACAACGGAUCUCUUGGUUCUGGCAUCGAUGAAGAACGCAGCGAAAUGCGAUAAGUAAUGUGAAUUGCAGAAUUCAGUGAAUCAUCGAAUCUUUGAACGCACAUUGCGCCCCCUGGUAUUCCGGGGGGCAUGCCUGUUCGAGCGUCAUUUCACCACUCAAGCCUCGCUUGGUAUUGGGCAACGCGGUCCGCCGCGUGCCUCAAAUCGACCGGCUGGGUCUUCUGUCCCCUAAGCGUUGUGGAAACUAUUCGCUAAAGGGUGUUCGGGAGGCUACGCCGUAAAACAACCCCAUUUCUAAGGUUGACCUCGGAUCAGGUAGGGAUACCCGCUGAACUUAAGCAUAUCAAUAAGCGGAGGAAAAGAAACCAACAGGGAUUGCUCUAGUAACGGCGAGUGAAGCAGCAAUAGCUCAAAUUUGAAAUCUGGCGUCUUCGACGUCCGAGUUGUAA